rnacentral:rRNA from 1 species
UACGGAGGAUCCAAGCGUUAUCCGGAUUUAUUGGGUUUAAAGGGUGCGUAGGCGGAUUGAUAAGUUAGAGGUGAAAUGUCCGAGCUCAACUCGGGAACUGCCUCUAAUACUGUUGAUCUAGAGAGUAGAUGCGGUAGGCGGAAUGUAUGGUGUAGCGGUGAAAUGCUUAGAGAUCAUACAGAACACCGAUUGCGAAGGCAGCUUACCAAUCUAUAUCUGACGUUGAGGCACGAAAGCGUGGGUAUCGAACAGG